rnacentral:rRNA from 1 species
GAUGAACGUUGGCGGUGCGCCUAAUACAUGCAAGUCGAACGGAGACAGUAGCAAUAUUGUCUUAGUGGCGAACGGGUGAGUAACGCGUUGGUGAUCUGCCUCGAAGUGUGGAAUAACGUUCCGAAAGGAGCACUAAUACCGCAUGGUCUUCCGGUUUUUAGAAAGCUGGAAGUAAAGGAGUAAUUCGCUUCGAGAGGAGCCUGCGUCCCAUCAGCUAGUUGGUAAGGUAAUGGCCUACCAAGGCAAUGACGGGUAGGGGACCUGAGAGGGUGGCCCCCCACAAUGGAACUGAAACACGGUCCAUACACCUACGGGUGGCAGCAGUAGGGAAUAUUAGUAAUGGGCGAAAGCCUGAACUAGCGACACCGCGUGUGCGAAGAAGGCCUUCGGGUUGUAAAGCACUUUUAGAGAGGAUGAGGAAGGACGGUACUCUCUGAAUAAGUCUCGGCUAACUACGUGCCAGCAGCCGCAGUAAUCUGUAGUCGU